UUUAAGACGGAGGCUGGAAUCACGGCGUAUCAAAAAUGGGUUUUCCGAAAGAAAGAGCGAAACAUUCAUAGAAUGUUAAAGACAGGCCCAACUCUGCUUACAGGCAGAGAUAUGCAUGUACAUGCUAGAGCUUUUUUUUUACCA
rnacentral:lncRNA from 1 species